UGAGCAAUCUGCCCUUCUCUUCGGAAUAAGCGUUGGAAACGACGUCUAAUGCCGAAUACGACCUCCUUUCGCAUGAUCGGAAGUGGAAAGCUCCGGCGGAGAAGGAUGAGCUCGCGGCCUAUCAGCUAGUUGGUGUGGGUAAUGGCCCACCAAGGCGACGACGGGUAGCCGGCCUGAGGAGGGUGACCGGCCACACUGGGACUGAGACACGGCCCAGACUCCGUACGGGAGGCAGCG
rnacentral:rRNA from 1 species